AUGCAGUCGAGCGACUGAUUAGAAGCUUGCUUCUAUGACGUUAGCGGCGGACGGGUGAGUAACACGUGGGCAACCUGCCUGUAAGACUGGGAUAACUUCGGGAAACCGAAGCUAAUACCGGAUAGGAUCUUCUCCUUCAUGGGAGAUGAUUGAAAGAUGGUUUCGGCUAUCACUUACAGAUGGGCCCGCGGUGCAUUAGCUAGUUGGUGAGGUAACGGCUCACCAAGGCAACGAUGCAUAGCCGACCUGAGAGGGUGAUCGGCCACACUGGGACUGAGACACGGCCCAGACUCCUACGGGAGGCAGCAGUAGGGAAUCUUCCGCAAUGGACGAAAGUCUGACGGAGCAACGCCGCGUGAGUGAUGAAGGCUUUCGGGUCGUAAAACUCUGUUGUUAGGGAAGAACAAGUACAAGAGUAACUGCUUGUACCUUGACGGUACCUAACCAGAAAGCCACGGCUAACUACGUGCCAGCAGCCGCGGUAAUACGUAGGUGGCAAGCGUUAUCCGGAAUUAUUGGGCGUAAAGCGCGCGCAGGCGGUUUCUUAAGUCUGAUGUGAAAGCCCACGGCUCAACCGUGGAGGGUCAUUGGAAACUGGGGAACUUGAGUGCA
rnacentral:rRNA from 1 species